AGUCGUCUUCUUCCUCAGCUCCACACUCACUACUGCUACAGCUUUACCAACACGCAAUGCCUUUGAUUCUAUCUCUAUCUCUUCCUGUGUUUUUUUUUAUAUAUAUGUCAAUCAAUUUUGCAAAGAAAGACAUCUAAUAAAUUUAAGAAAGAAGGAAAGGAAGUUACAUCGAGAAAAGCAGCAUCAAGGUAUGAAACAUUGAUCUCCACUGAAACUCCGGAAUGUGAAGCUCCGGCUGUGUAGAUCACUGCUGAUCCUAUCAAAUCCACCAGCGUCGCCGUUGCUCCUCCGUGAGAUGAGGAGGGAUUUUCAUGGAGCAGACGAUACGGCCAGGUUCGAUGAGAUCCACUUUAAGACCAUUGGUUACGAAUCGUUCGAGGAAUCUGUGUGGUAAUUUCGCCACCAUUGGUUCCUUGGCCUUUUCGUCUUCAUCUCCUUCCAGAUACUUUUUCACCGAUUCUAGAUCCAUUCUCUUCUUCUUUCCCUUUUCUUUUUCCGUAUCAACACCUUUUGAGGGUUUUUUUUUUAAAUCGAAAAUUUUUUGAUAUGAAU